rnacentral:rRNA from 1 species
AACGAACGCUGGCGGCAUGCCUAACACAUGCAAGUCGAACGAGACCUUCGGGUCUAGUGGCGCACGGGUGCGUAACGCGUGGGAACCUGCCCUUAGGUUCGGAAUAACUCCCCGAAAGGGGUGCUAAUACCGGAUAAUGUCUUCGGACCAAAGAUUUAUCGCCUUUGGAUGGACCCGCGUUGGAUUAGCUAGUUGGUAGGGUAAAAGCCUACCAAGGCGACGAUCCAUAGCUGGUCUGAGAGGAUGAUCAGCCACACUGGGACUGAGACACGGCCCAGACUCCUACGGGAGGCAGCAGUGGGGAAUAUUGGACAAUGGGCGAAAGCCUGAUCCAGCAAUGCCGCGUGAGUGAUGAAGGCCUUAGGGUUGUAAAGCUCUUUUACCCGGGAUGAUAAUGACAGUACCGGGAGAAUAAGCUCCGGCUAACUCCGU